CUACGGGACGCUCCAGUGGGGAAUAUUGCACAAUGGGCGCAAGCCUGAUGCAGCCAUGCCGCGUGUAUGAAGAAGGCCUUCGGGUUGUAAAGUACUUUCAGCGGGGAGGAAGGGAGUAAAGUUAAUACCUUUGCUCAUUGACGUUACCCGCAGAAGAAGCACCGGCUAACUCCGUGCCAGCAGCCGCGGUAAUACGGAGGGUGCAAGCGUUAAUCGGAAUUACUGGGCGUAAAGCGCACGCAGGCGGUUGUUUAAGUCAGAUGUGAAAUCCCCGGGCUCAACCUGGGAACUGCAUCUGAUACUGGCAAGCUUGAGUCUCGUAGAGGGGGGUAGAAUUCCAGGUGUAGCGGUGAAAUGCGUAGAGAUCUGGAGGAAUACCGGUGGCGAAGGCGGCCCCCUGGACGAAGACUGACGCUCAGGUGCGAAAGCGUGGGGAGCAAACAGGAUUAGAUACCCCCGUAGUC
rnacentral:rRNA from 1 species